ACCUUGAUGGUAUUUUAGAAGAGGAAGAAAAUCCAUCUCUGCAGAGUCACUGGAGACUUUGGCUAUUACUAAUUGAUUCUACACGGAGAGCACACAGUGGGGACAGCCUUCAGUCUGAAGCGCAUCAAAAAAAAGUCUUGCUGACCCUGAAGAGGCUUUCCGGAUAUUUAGGGCUUGGCUGCCCUUCCUUAGUGGAUGGAUGAGCCGGUGGUCAUCAUCAACCAUUCUGGAGGCUACGUUUAGCCUUAAAACUGAAGCUGGAUGAAAUGUUUUACAGACACAGCAUUGCACACAUUGCAGAAGGUGGUAUGCUGAAGUCGGUGCCCACACAGUGGGCA
rnacentral:lncRNA from 1 species